ACCUUCGUGGUGUAAUGGUCAGCACGCUCGACGCGUAACCGAGAGGUCCGUGGUUCAAUUCCAGUCGAGGGCG
rnacentral:tRNA from 1 species